UACGUAGGGGGCAAGCGUUAUCCGGAAUCACUGGGCGUAAAGCGUGCGUAGGCGGGUGUUUAAGUGCGAUGCGAAAUUCUGUGGCUCAACCAUAUGAACUGUAUCGCAUACUGGACACCUAGAGGAUGGCAGAGGCAAGUGGAAUUACUGGUGUAGCAGUGAAAUGCGUAGAUAUCAGUAGGAACACCAAUGGCGAAGGCAGCUUGCUGGGCCAUUUCUGACGCUAAGGCACGAAAGCGCGGGGAGCGAACAGG
rnacentral:rRNA from 1 species